rnacentral:rRNA from 1 species
UACGAAGGGGACUAGCGUUGUUCGGAAUCACUGGGCGUAAAGCGCACGUAGGCGGAUGUGUCAGUCAGGGGUGAAAUCCCGGGGCUCAACCUCGGAACUGCCUUUGAUACUGGCGAUCUCGAGUCCGGGAGAGGUGAGUGGAACUGCGAGUGUAGAGGUGAAAUUCGUAGAUAUUCGCAAGAACACCAGUGGCGAAGGCGGCUCACUGGCCCGGUACUGACGCUGAGGUGCGAAAGCGUGGGGAGCAAACAGG